AUUAAUAAUUAAUAUAUUUAAUAAAAAUAAUUUUAAUUUAAUAAGUAUUUUAAUGGGGGUUAAAGUAUUUUUUAAAGAAAAAAUUUUUAAAUUUAUAGUUAAUUAGUAUUGUGAAAGAAUUUUGAAAUAUUAUGAAAAAUAAAAUUUUUAGAAAGUAAUUUUUAUUUAUUGUAUCUUGUGUAUCAGAGUUUAUUAAAAAUUUUUAAUUUAUGAAUUAAUUUCUCGAAUUUAAAAGAGUUAAAUAAUUAUUAAAGUUAUUGUAGCAAAAUUAUUUUAAAUAAUUAUUUAGAAAUGAAAUGUUAAUCGUUUUUAAAUAUAUCUAGUUUUUAUAGAAAAAAAUUUAAUUUUAAAUUUAAAAAUUAUUUAAUUAAUUUAUUAAUUAAAUAGUUACUUAAAUUUUAUAAUUUAAGGGAUAAGCUUUAAAUUAAAUUUUUAUAAUAUUAAAUUUUUAUUUUGAAAAUUUUAUAAUUUAUAUUGUUAAUAAAUUUUAUUUUGUUAUAAAUAAUUUCAUUUUUUUUAAAAUUUAAAUUUUAUUUAAUUUUUUAUAUAAAAUUUAUUUAUAAUUAUAUAAAGUUAAUUAUAAUGAUAAAAUUAGUAUAUUAUUUAAUAUUAAAUUAAAAUUAAUUUUUGAUUAAUAAUUAAAUUAAUUAAAAGGAAUUCGGCAAAUAUUUAUUUUCACUUGUUUAUCAAAAACAUGUCUUUUUGUUAUUUAAUUUAAAGUCUAAUCUGCCCACUGAUUUAUAAAAAUUGAAGGGCUGCAGUAUAUUGACUGUACAAAGGUAGCAUAAUCAUUAGUCUCUUAAUUGGUGACUUGUAUGAAAGAUUGGAUGAAAAAUAUACUGUCUCUUAAUUAAUAUAUAGAAUUUAAUUUUUUAUUUAAAAAGUUAAAAUAACUUAAAAAGACGAGAAGACCCCAUAGAGUUUAAUAAAUUAUUUUAUGAAAGUUUUAUUUAUAUUUAUUAAUAAUUUUAUAAAUUUAUUUAUUUAGUUGGGGUGAUAAAAAAAUAAAUUUAACUUUUUUUAAGUAAUUUACAUGGAUAAGUGAUUAAU
rnacentral:rRNA from 1 species